AUAUGUCGCAGGCAAAUUGUAUGAUUCUGCAUUUUACAAACGGCGUCGUCAGUUCACAAACGCUCGCUGUUCUAUGAAAUGUCGAAGGCAAAAUGUAAAUUGCCUUGGCACUUUAUAAUAUGCCACAAAAUUUGAUAGCCAAUUCAAUCGCCGUUUACAAAAUGCCGCGGCAAAUUGAAGAAUUUAGUUAGUUUUCUUACCACGCGAGGCGCUGCCAAUCAAAACAAGAAAAAUGGCGUCGAGUAGUGGUGUUGUGAUACAGAAAAAUAUUGAAAACAGUGCAAAUUCUACGUAUUCAAAGGACUUUUCACAAAAAACUAUUGUUUUAAAGACAUUUAUUUUACGAUUCAACAAUAGAAGCAGUGAAAAAGCCGUGGACAAAUGAAAAAGUUUUUGAGGUUAUCAGGACUGUAAAAAACGCUAAGGUGACAAUGGGAUCUGGUGCUCGGAGGACUGCUGCGGAAUAUUAUAUGGUAUAAAAAAUAUGAUGUAUGAGUAUUGGCGAUGUGGACUAUCUUAUUCUGAAAAAAAGACAGCCAUGAGAGCCCAACGGAAAACAUACCUAUGGAAGACUAUUAUGAUAUGUGAACGCUAAAGUGUAACCUUGUUGGUGAUCAAAUAAAUAAAUAUAGUGAUAUUCAUAGGGACAGUGGACAUGGUAGUCGAGACAAAAUUCAGUACCAAAUUAAAGAUCGAUAUUGUCUAUUUCUUUCUUUCUUUCUAUUUGAAUAGAAUUUGAAUUACUGAAAUAAGGUCCGAUUUAUCCAACAUGUGUUUUAUGAUGGUCACCCUAUUGCAACAAUCAUAGUCGAAAUUUCAUCAAUUGAACGAGUCGCCAAUUUGCCUUCGGCAUUUCACAGAACAGCGAACGUUUGUAAACUGACGACGCCGUUUGUAAAAUGCGGAAUCAUACAAUUUGCCUGCGACACAUAUACAGCUUUUUGCUAAACAAAAGAGAUGCAAGCACUAUAAGACGGCGAAUAUUUUUGUGAAUCAAUUAGAUUGCGGAAUGUUGACUUAGUGACAAACCAAAUUCCACGCGGAUGAUGACUGAUGCUAGGAACAGCAGUACAGUUAAUACAAAUUCGUUUUAGCCAAAACACGUGUAAGUCACCUUGACGCUAAAAUGAACAGCAAAUCUUGAGGAAACCUCCAACGGGAGUGGACUCAAUGAAGCAGAUCCACAAUGCUGCUGGAGUCAUGAAUCGUGUGACGUCACGCGAAAAAGCGGGAAACAAAAUGCAAAGCUGCGUAUAUGUGAGCAGCUCGUAUGGAAAACGAAAGUCUUCCGUCGCGAGUUUCAUUCCGACGAAGUUGGACGCUCGCGGCUGCUGCAGCUGCGAUCUCCGAAGGGAGCGAGCGAACUACUUGGAUGCGACGUCUGGGAAAAUGACAAAAUAAUACAACUGUACGUACAGCCAGAAUCAAAUCGUUCAUGACAGCCAAAGUAGCCAAAAAAUUGCACAAUUUUUGUUACAUUGGAAUAAGGUUGUGUUGUCAACAUUUUGGGCACUUUGGGUGCCACGAACCAUUUGACGCUGACUAUAGGUACCUCUAAAGAACAACAUAAUACCUCUACUGUAUAUGGGUAUUAAUUUAGACUAUAUCAAACUUCAAGGUUCCGAGACAAAAAAGAUUUUAUAACAAGAUAAUAAACAACAUUUAUCAAUAUAGGUACUAUGUAUUAGAUAAUAAUGUAUUUACAUGAUAGAUCCUCGUGCCUGCGCUUUAGCAUUCUCUGUAACACAGAAAAAUCUAUUCCUCUGAUUCUUGGUUUAUUGGACAAAUUAGUAACUAAUACUUUUCUUUGAGAUCUGUUUAAAAAUGUGUCUUAAUUCUUUAGUUGAAUGUGUUCAGUUGAAAUGUAUUAAGUUACAUCAUUAACUUGAAAUUUGAAGUAUUGUUUUAUUGGGAUGAAACUAUGAAUAUCAACUACAUGAAUUUGUAAUUGAAUACUUAUUCUUUUGUAUUUAAAUACUUAGUCUAUCUUUCCAAAUACAGAAUGACUUUGAUCUAUCUGACCUUAUGAUAAACUUAGUGUAAGUUUAAAUAA